rnacentral:rRNA from 1 species
UUGCUCCCGGAUGUUAGCGGCGGACGGGUGAGUAACACGUGGGUAACCUGCCUGUAAGACUGGGAUAACUCCGGGAAACCGGAGCUAAUACCGGAUAGUUCCUUGAACCGCAUGGUUCAAGGAUGAAAGACGGUUUCGGCUGUCACUUACAGAUGGACCCGCGGCGCAUUAGCUAGUUGGUGGGGUAAUGGCUCACCAAGGCGACGAUGCGUAGCCGACCUGAGAGGGUGAUCGGCCACACUGGGACUGAGACACGGCCCAGACUCCUACGGGAGGCAGCAGUAGGGAAUCUUCCGCAAUGGACGAAAGUCUGACGGAGCAACGCCGCGUGAGUGAUGAAGGUUUUCGGAUCGUAAAGCUCUGUUGUUAGGGAAGAACAAGUGCGAGAGUAACUGCUCGCACCUUGACGGUACCUAACCAGAAAGCCACGGCUAACUACGUGCCAGCAGCCGCGGUAAUACGUAGGUGGCAAGCGUUGUCCGGAAUUAUUGGGCGUAAAGGGCUCGCAGGCGGUUUCUUAAGUCUGAUGUGAAAGCCCCCGGCUCAACCGGGGAGGGUCAUUGGAAACUGGGAAACUUGAGUGCAGAAGAGGAGAGUGGAAUUCCACGUGUAGCGGUGAAAUGCGUAGAGAUGUGGAGGAACACCAGUGGCGAAGGCGACUCUCUGGUCUGUAACUGACGCUGAGGAGCGAAAGCGUGGGGAGCGAACAGGAUUAGAUACCCUGGUAGUCCACGCCGUAAACGAUGAGUGCUAAGUGUUAGGGGGUUUCCGCCCCUUAGUGCUGCAGCUAACGCAUUAAGCACUCCGCCUGGGGAGUACGGUCGCAAGACUGAAACUCAAAGGAAUUGACGGGGGCCCGCACAAGCGGUGGAGCAUGUGGUUUAAUUCGAAGCAACGCGAAGAACCUUACCAGGUCUUGACAUCCUCUGACAACCCUAGAGAUAGGGCUUUCCCUUCGGGGACAGAGUGACAGGUGGUGCAUGGUUGUCGUCAGCUCGUGUCGUGAGAUGUUGGGUUAAGUCCCGCAACGAGCGCAACCCUUGAUCUUAGUUGCCAGCAUUCAGUUGGGCACUCUAAGGUGACUGCCGGUGACAAACCGGAGGAAGGUGGGGAUGACGUCAAAUCAUCAUGCCCCUUAUGACCUGGGCUACACACGUGCUACAAUGGACAGAACAAAGGGCUGCAAGACCGCAAGGUUUAGCCAAUCCCAUAAAUCUGUUCUCAGUUCGGAUCGCAGUCUGCAACUCGACUGC